UUAAUUGAAACCAUGUGGAGAGUCAUGGGAUCCACAGGCAUUAUCAACCAUCUGUAGAGAUCCUUUAUCAACACAAGGAGAGAGGUCAGCAAUGAACCUGAGAGAGACAGACAAAAGCUGUAAUUUGUGCCUGCUUUUGUGACUGCCAGGGGGCGAGAUAGGUAGGACAUGGCAUUCUACUGGGGGUGGAGACGAGGUACCAGAUACCACCAAUGAAACCCUUCUGAGAGGGUUAUAAGUGCCUGGUUAUAAGGACCCUUGCUGUGGGUCCAUGUGCAUCAUCUUGAUGAGAACUGGAGUCCUCUUCCUGGUGAAGAUAAAGAUGAAAAGGACAUGACUACCAUUCAGACUUAAAAACAUACAUGUGAGUUUAUAUCUCAAAUUCUCUUAAGAAUUUAGUUUGCCAGAUGCAGUCUCCAACUCUAAUUGACUCUUGAUCCCUGGCAAAAUUCAGUCUCCUGGUAAACUGAGAGAUCUGGGACUAUGGAGAUCCUAU
rnacentral:lncRNA from 1 species